rnacentral:rRNA from 1 species
UAUGUCCUACGGGACGCAGCAGUGAGGAAUAUUGGUCAAUGGGCGGGAGCCUGAACCGGCCACGUCGCGUGAGGGAAGACGGUCCUAUGGAUUGUAAACCUCUUUAGGCGGGGAGCAAUGCCGGGCACGUGUGCCCGGAGGGAGAGUACCCGCAGAAUAAGCAUCGGCUAACUCCGUGCCAGCAGCCGCGGUAAUACGGAGGAUGCGAGCGUUAUCCGGAUUUAUUGGGGUUAAAGGGUGCGUAGGCGGAUUUUUAAGUCAGCGGUAAAAUGUCCGGGCUCAACCCGGGCCGGCCGUUGAAACUG